rnacentral:rRNA from 1 species
GAUGAACGCUGGCGGCGUGCCUAAUACAUGCAAGUCGAGCGGACAGACGAGGAGCUUGCUCCUCUGACGUUAGCGGCGGACGGGUGAGUAACACGUGGAUAACCUACCUAUAAGACUGGGAUAACUUCGGGAAACCGGAGCUAAUACCGGAUAAUAUAUUGAACCGCAUGGUUCAAUAGUGAAAGACGGUUUUGCUGUCACUUAUAGAUGGUUCCGCGCCGCAUUAGCUAGUUGGUAAGGUAACGGCUUACCAAGGCAACGAUGCGUAGCCGACCUGAGAGGGUGAUCGGCCACACUGGAACUGAGACACGGUCCAGACUCCUACGGGAGGCAGCAGUAGGGAAUCUUGCGCAAUGGGCGAAAGCCUGACGGAGCAACGCCGCGUGAGUGAUGAAGGUCUUCGGAUCGUAAAACUCUGUUAUUAGGGAAGAACAAAUGUGUAAGUAACUAUGCACGUCUUGACGGUACCUAAUCAGAAAGCCACGGCUAACUACGUG